rnacentral:rRNA from 1 species
AGUGAACACUGGCGGUAGGCCUAACACAUGCAAGUCGAACGGCAGCACAGGAGAGCUUGCUCUCUGGGUGGCGAGUGGCGGACGGGUGAGGAAUACAUCGGAAUCUACUCUGUCGUGGGGGAUAACGUAGGGAAACUUACGCUAAUACCGCAUACGACCUACGGGUGAAAGCAGGGGAUCUUCGGACCUUGCGCGAUUGAAUGAGCCGAUGUCGGAUUAGCUAGUUGGCGGGGUAAAGGCCCACCAGGGCGACGAUCCGUAGCUGGUCUGAGAGGAUGAUCAGCCACACUGGAACUGAGACACGGUCCAGACUCCUACGGGAGGCAGCAGUGGGGAAUAUUGGACAAUGGGCGCAAGCCUGAUCCAGCCAUACCGCGUGGGUGAAGAAGGCCUUCGGGUUGUAAAGCCCUUUUGUUGGGAAAGAAAUCCAGCUGGCUAAUACCCGGUUGGGAUGACGGUACCCAAAGAAUAAGCACCGGCUAACUUCGUGCCAGCAGCCGCAGUAA